UAAUAAGAGGAGCCCAAAAAUAGAAAGAAGGUUGGAGGGUGCAACAAAGGUGAAAGCUUUUUGCAUUUUUCAUGAACUCGCUUCCCUUUUCCACACCUGAAUCCUCAUGGAAAAUUUAAUCCAGCUUACUCAGGGGACUUGUUCAAGCAUAUGGAGAAGCACAACCAUGUCCUUACGGAAGCAUAUAGAUCAAUGUUGCAUCAAGCCCAAAAGCUUCAGGUAGAGGAAGAAAUGCUUAUGCACAAGCUUUACGGAGUUAUGGCAGCUCAUGGUCUCGUUAAAAAGAAUGAUGAUAAUUCCAACAAUCCUUAUAAUAGUAGAACAGCUCAACACUCCAAUAGGGAAGUCAAUGUAGCACAGGAGGAACAGUAGGACAUAAUUUUGGUUUGUUCACUCACAAAUUUUGGGAUCAAGGGCCAAAAUCGACAAUUGCCUAAGUGCACAUGCAGUAUGUUUCUUUGGGAAGCAUUUGAUUCUACAUAAAUAGAAGCAUAGUGGUGUUCAAGAAUUAUAAUGGAAAUGAAUCUGGGCCUGUGUCUAACAAAGGGUGCAAUCCCUGUUACUUUUGAUAGGCCUUGUGUUCUAUGUGUUCCCACCAAUGUCUUUCUUCGUGGAAUUAUUUUCAGUGUUCAAGAGAAAGGGAAGCUUUCAAGAUUAUAUUUACUUCUGUCACCCCCCACAUGGUUUUAAUCAUUGACAAAGGUUCUGAAGUGUCACUCUGUCAGUUAAACACUAACAGUUCAUCCACUGCUACUCAUGAUGGUACCAUAUAUGUUCAGAGGUGGAUUAUUCAAAAUAAACAGUAAUCUUGAAAGUUGAAACACGACUAUGAACUAUUUUCACUCGUACUGCAUACUGCAUUAAACAGAGAUGGCAGAACACGAACGCUCCAUUGCUGCAAUGUGUUAUUAAAUGUGAUUAAGAAAAGGUGUAAUGUGUUAAUUCCUUUUUCUUAUGAACUGAUACAAAAUAGUUCUCAUCAGAAUGUUUGGAUUGAGAAGGAGUACUUGUCAUAAUGUUAUAUAUAUAUCCUUGAGACUCUACAUGAACCUGUUAUCCAUGACAGGUGUGUCAAUUGUGAUGAAGGAAACUCAACCAAUUAGCAAAGCAAGUUAGUAAUGGAAAUUAUACUCCCAUGAUUCCGAAGCCUGAAGGUUGACCUUGAUGCACCAACAAUUUCAUUAAUAAAGUACAAUAAACAGUUGGCAUGUUCCAUGAUUGUUGGCCGACAUGUAUAUGUGGGACUGGAGGAGUAGGAUAAUGUAGAAUAGGCUAAAUGAGGCAAUAAGGGAGCCUAAGAUAAGGGAAAUGUCAACUCCUACUUAGCUCUAGCUCUAGCUCUAGCUCUAGCUCAUUCCGUUUUGAAAUACAUGAAUCCUUAUCUAAAACUCACUAAAAUUUGAGAUCUUUAUUUGAUUAUGUAUUGUACAACAAAGAUAUUCUAGGUUAUUAUUGUACAAAAAUUUGUUUAAAUAAUAAAUAAUAUGAAACUCUUUUAUGCUGUUAA